rnacentral:lncRNA from 1 species
AUGAUUGUCCACAACCUGCACCUAUUUGACCAGAAUGGAGUGUGUCUGCAUUACAGCAAGUGGACUGAAGAAGCAAGCGGGGAUCCCCAAGGAGGCGGCCUACAAGCUGACGUGUGGGAUGCUCUUCUUUACCUACUCCUUUGUUUGCAAGAUGUCCCCGCCAGACAUGAAGGACAGCUUUCUGGACUUCCAAACUAGUCGUUACAAGUUCCACUACUACAAGACACUCACUGGGAUCGAGGGUGGUCAUGAAUACUGAUUGGGUGUGGGGCCCAGCUGAGAGGUGCCUCACCGCACCCACAGUUCAGCUGGUGGUGAAGAAUCCCCUGUGCCCUCUGGGCCAAACUGUGCCAGACUGGUCUCCCACGUCCAUCCGUUCUGUGCCCUUCUUCUCUGCCUGGUUGGGU